rnacentral:lncRNA from 1 species
CUCCUUUUUGUAAAUAAUUUCCUCCACCAAGAUGCUGGUUUCCCCGGGGAGUAAGAAACCUCUUACUUUAAGGCAUUAUAACCAAUCACAGCCCAAAUCUUUUCUUGGAAAAGAACCACCACAGUCACAAGCAAGAAAACAAGACGAGACAAAAGAAGCAAUUUGCUCAUUUUGAGGACUGUCGUGGUGUGGGCGAGGCUGGUGGAACACCGCCUAAAGCUCCAAGUCAACUGCUUUCUCUAGUUCCACAAUAAGACAAGGCUUCACAGAGCUCUGACCACAUCUGGGAUCAGAGCAUCUUUCAUUACACCCAGAAAUUGAGGAAGAGCCCUGAGGCAGAGUUGUCCCGAGCCCAGUACGUGCUGGGGAAGCCGGCGUUUCAAAAGAAAGUGGUGUCUGAAAUAUCUUCACCCAACUUCCUCUUGGCAACCCCAAGAUGGGCGCGCUGCUUGUGGUUAUGACACCCGGCCUUCCAGCAGAGCUGUGUCCCCUGUGUGCACCUGUUCCCCGCCCACAGUCCUGCUUUACACUCAGCCUGGGCUGUGAACUCUCUGAAGGUGGGAAGCAUGACUCCUUCUUUCCUUGUGCCACCUUUUCGUCCCCCAGAGCUUUGCACAUAGGACCCCUCCAAAAAUAUUGGUUCAUUCAACAAGUAUUGCUGAGCAUCUACUGAGCACCAGGUUUGGAGCAAGAGACUGUGGAUACAAGGAAGAGCUCUAGUGACACGGUCCUGCUCAAGUUACAGUUUGUGGAACUGAACCCUCUGUAUGUUAUUUGGCAACAUUUUCAAUAAAAUGAGAAUGAAACAGGUCCUGGGAAAUUAUUGGUUUCUUAUGUAAAAAAGGAAGUCAAGAAAGCUCAUUCGUAUAUAUUAUAUCUGUCUCAUGGCUGACUUCUGUGAAAGCAAACAUUAUGAAGAAUGUUAUAGAGUGU